rnacentral:misc_RNA from 1 species
GUGAAUCAUCAAAUCUUUGAACGCAUAUUGCACUCUCUGGGAUUCGGGUGAGUAUGCCUGGUUGAGGGUAAUUAAAAACAAUCUUUAACCAAUUUUUUUGGUCCAAGGAAAUGAGUUCUCCGCGUUUAUAGCGGUAGCUUGAAAUAAAUGGUAGUCUCCUUUUAGUCGAGACGCGUAGUUAUAUUAUUUCGCGCAAUCUUCAUUAUGUGACUAUCAAGUUUUGAUGCAUACAAAU